rnacentral:rRNA from 1 species
GACGAACGCUGGCGGCGUGCUUAACACAUGCAAGUCGAACGGAAAGGCCCUGCUUUUGUGGGGUGCUCGAGUGGCGAACGGGUGAGUAACACGUGAGUAACCUGCCCUUGACUUUGGGAUAACUUCAGGAAACUGGGGCUAAUACCGGAUAGGAGCUCCUGCUGCAUGGUGGGGGUUGGAAAGUUUCGGCGGUUGGGGAUGGACUCGCGGCUUAUCAGCUUGUUGGUGGGGUAGUGGCUUACCAAGGCUUUGACGGGUAGCCGGCCUGAGAGGGUGACCGGCCACAUUGGGACUGAGAACGCGCCCAAGCUCAAUGGGGGGGGAAGGGGGGGGAAUUUUGCAAAAGGGGCGGAAGCCGGGUGCAGAAACGCCGGGGGGGGGGAGGGGGCCUUCGGGUUGAAAACCGCUUUCGCCUGUAGCAAAGGGUGGGGGAGGGAAAUGGGUAAAAAAGCCCCGGCAAACUACGG